rnacentral:rRNA from 1 species
AGUGAACGCUGGCGGUAGGCCUAACACAUGCAAGUCGAACGGCAGCACAGUAAGAGCUUGCUCUUACGGGUGGCGAGUGGCGGACGGGUGAGGAAUACAUCGGAAUCUACUUUUUCGUGGGGGAUAACGUAGGGAAACUUACGCUAAUACCGCAUACGACCUACGGGUGAAAGCAGGGGAUCUUCGGACCUUGCGCGAUUGAAUGAGCCGAUGUCGGAUUAGCUAGUUGGCGGGGUAAAGGCCCACCAAGGCGACGAUCCGUAGCUGGUCUGAGAGGAUGAUCAGCCACACUGGAACUGAGACACGGUCCAGACUCCUACGGGAGGCAGCAGUGGGGAAUAUUGGACAAUGGGCGCAAGCCUGAUCCAGCCAUACCGCGUGGGUGAAGAAGGCCUUCGGGUUGUAAAGCCCUUUUGUUGGGAAAGAAAAGCAGCAGGUUAAUACCCCGCUGUUCUGACGGUACCCACAGAAUAAGCACCGGCUAACUUCGUG